rnacentral:piRNA from 1 species
UAAUAGGCGAUGCUUGCUAUGGACUCCCAAAU